GACGAGCGCUGGCGGCGUGCUUAACGCAUGCAAGUCGAGCGGAAAGGCCACUUCGGUGGUACUCGAGCGGCGAACGGGUGAGUAACACGUGAGUAAUCUGCCCCUGGCUUUGGGAUAGCCACCGGAAACGGUGAUUAAUACCGGAUACGACCACUUCUCGCAUGGGAUGGUGGGGGAAAGUUUUUUCGGCCAGGGAUGUGCUCGCGGCCUAUCAGCUUGAUGGUGAGGUAAUGGCUCACCAUGGCUUCGACGGGUAGCCGGCCUGAGAGGGUGACCGGUCACACUGGGACUGAGACACGGCCCAGACUCCUACGGGAGGCAGCAGUGGGGAAUAUUGGACAAUGGGCGGAAGCCUGAUCCAGCAACGCCGCGUGAGGGAUGACGGCCUUCGGGUUGUAAACCUCUUUCAGCAGGGACGAAGCGCAAGUGACGGUACCUGCAGAAGAAGCACCGGCCAACUACGUGCCAGCCGCCGCCGUAA
rnacentral:rRNA from 1 species